GAUCCUGGCUCAGGAUGAACGCUGGCGGCAUGCCUAAUACAUGCAAGUCGAACGGACCGAAGGGAAAGCUUGCUUUUCCUGAAGUCAGUGGCGAACGGGUGAGUAACACGUAGGUAACCAGCCCAUGUGCCCGGGACAACGCCUGGAAACGGGUGCUAAAACCGGAUAGGUAGAGAGAUCGCAUGAACUUUCUAUUAAAGGGGCUACGGCCCUGAACAUGGAUGGACCUGCGGUGCAUUAGCUAGUUGGUG
rnacentral:rRNA from 1 species